rnacentral:tRNA from 1 species
UAAGACCUGCAGGACUCUCCCCUACAUUAUCUGAAUGCAACCCAGAUACUUUAAUUAAGCUAAGACCUU